GGGGAUGUGCUGGAACUGGUAUACGGGGUGGUCUCAAACACCACUGGACGCAAGUCCGUGAGGGUUCGACUCCCUCCAUCCCCA
rnacentral:tRNA from 1 species